rnacentral:rRNA from 1 species
AGAGUUUGAUCAUGGCUCAGGACGAACGCUGGCGGCGUGCUUAACACAUGCAAGUCGAACGGAAAGGCCCUUCGGGGUACUCGAGUGGCGAACGGGUGAGUAACACGUGGGUGAUCUGCCCUGCACUCUGGGAUAAGCCUGGGAAACUGGGUCUAAUACCGGAUAGGACCGCAUGCUUCAUGGUGUGUGGUGCAAAGCUUUUGCGGUGUGGGAUGAGCCCGCGGCCUAUCAGCUUGUUGGUGGGGUAAUGGCCUACCAAGGCGACGACGGGUAGCCGGCCUGAGAGGGUGACCGGCCACACUGGGACUGAGAUACGGCCCAGACUCCUACGGGAGGCAGCAGUGGGGAAUAUUGCACAAUGGGCGCAAGCCUGAUGCAGCGACGCCGCGUGAGGGAUGACGGCCUUCGGGUUGUAAACCUCUUUCGAUAGGGACGAAGCGCAAGUGACGGUACCUAUAGAAGAAGGACCGGCCAACUACGUGCCAGCAGCCGCGGUAAUACGUAGGGUCCGAGCGUUGUCCGGAAUUACUGGGCGUAAAGAGCUCGUAGGUGGUUUGUCGCGUUGUUCGUGAAAACUCACAGCUUAACUGUGGGCGUGCGGGCGAUACGGGCAGACUAGAGUACUGCAGGGGAGACUGGAAUUCCUGGUGUAGCGGUGGAAUGCGCAGAUAUCAGGAGGAACACCGGUGGCGAAGGCGGGUCUCUGGGCAGUAACUGACGCUGAGGAGCGAAAGCGUGGGUAGCGAACAGGAUUAGAUACCCUGGUAGUCCAA